rnacentral:rRNA from 1 species
UACAGAGGGUGCAAGCGUUGCUCGGAAUCAUUGGGCGUAAAGGGUAGGUAGGUGGUCUCAUUUGUCUGGGGUGAAAGCCCAGGGCUUAACCCUGGAAGUGCCCCGGAAACGGUGAGACUGGAGUACUGGAGAGGGUCGUGGAAUUCCCGGUGUAGCGGUGAAAUGCGUAGAGAUCGGGAGGAACACCGGUGGCGAAGGCGGUUCUCUGGGCCUUACCUGACACUGAGGAGCGAAAGCGUGGGGAGCGAACAGG